GACGAACGCUGGCGGCGUGCUUAACACAUGCAAGUCGAACGGAAAGGCCCUGCUUUUGUGGGGUGCUCGAGUGGCGAACGGGUGAGUAACACGUGAGUAACCUGCCCUUGACUUUGGGAUAACUUCAGGAAACUGGGGCUAAUACCGGAUAGGAGCUCCUGCUGCACGGUGGGGGUUGGUAAGUUUCGGCGGUUGGGGAUGGACUCGCGGCUUAUCAGCUUGUUGGUGGGGUAGUGGCUUACAAAGGCUUUGACGGGUAGCCGGCCUGGGAGGGUGACCGGCCACAUGGGGACUGCGGUACGCCCCAGACGCCUACGGGAGGCAGCAGUGGGGAAUAUUGCACAGUGGGCGGAAGCCUGUUGCAGCAGCGCCGCGUGCGUGAUGACGGCCUUCGGGUUAUAAACCGCUUUCGCCUGUGACGAAGCGUGAGUGACGGUAAUGGGUAAAGAAGCACCGGCUAACUACGUG
rnacentral:rRNA from 1 species